UACGUAGGGACCGAGCGUUGUCCGGAAUCAUUGGGCGUAAAGAGCGUGUAGGCGGCCACUUAAGUCCUGCGUGAAAUCUUGCGGCUCAACCGCAAGCGGUCGUGGGAAACUGGGUGGCUAGAGUGCGGGAGAGGAGAGUGGAAUUCCUGGUGUAGCGGUGGAAUGCGCAGAUAUCAGGAGGAACACCGGUGGCGAAGGCGGGUCUCUGGGCCGAAACUGACGCUGAGGAGCGAAAGCGUGGGGAGCGAACAGG
rnacentral:rRNA from 1 species